UCCCUGGUGGCUCAGAAGGUAAAGCAUCUGCCUGCAAUGUGGAAGACCUGGGUUCGAUUCCUGGGUUGGGAG
rnacentral:tRNA from 1 species